ACAAGGAAGACUCACUUGAAGAGAAGAUCAAGGACAAAAAUAAUAUUCUGGUGAGCCAUUUCGGCUCUCAUACACUUCGUAUAUAAUGGCACCUCAACCCACGGAGAGAGAGAGAGAGAGAGAGAGAGAGAGAGAGAGAGAGAGAGAGAGAGAGAGAGAGAGAGAGAGAGAGAACGAACAACAACAACAUAAAAGAUAACAAGAAAUAACAAACAACCUAACUCAACCAUCUCUCACUUUCACUCUCCCUCUCCCUCCCAUCCCCUCCCUCUCCCUCUCCCUCUCUCCCAUUCCUUAACUACCUAACCACACUGGCCAUCAUAGCCCACAUCCUGCGCUUCUUACCCCAGUGCCCUCUCUCACUCUCACUUUCUCACUCUCUCUCAGUCCCGUCUUAAACUUUACUCGUGUCGCAUCUCCACCAGUCAGUCAGUCAGUCAGUUAGCCAGUCAACCAGCCAGUAAACCAGUUAGCCAGUCAAUCAGUAAUCCGAUACGCAUGCACACACGCACGCACGCACGCACGCACGCACGCAAAGUGAUAGUUAUUACGUGUGGAAAGAGAAUUGCGUGUUCUACUACUACUUCUACUACUACUAUUACUACUACUGCCGUGAAGACAUCAACCCGACCUGAGCCGACUGUGGGAGUGACAAAUGGUUCCCUGGACGCCGUGUGUCACCGGAUUGCAGGCGAGCGUCAGGCGGACCAUGAGUCGGGACGCUGGCAAGUCCGUUGACCAGAACCUGACCAGGAAAAUUCAAGAAGCGUGGUCUUGACCUUGCUCAGCAGUUGUGCCCUCACCUGACCUACGUUAUGUUGCUCUGCGUUCAUUGUUUCUGGCAAAGUGAGUUAGUGCAGCCGUGCGUUCAGUGUGUCACCAUAAUUUGCAAGCAGUCGAUUUCCUGCUCUACUUUACCAGGUGGUAUUUGUUUUGAAAGAGAGUUGAGAAGUGGAUUAUGUCAUGCUCUCAACCUAAAUUUUAUACUUCUUUAUUCAUAACUGCAUCAACAGACCACCUGGGAAAAGUAAUGCUUUGUGCCUCUGUUUGUUUUCAUUUCACGACACGGCAGGAAGGGAGAGCACGACCACAGAGCAAAGAAUUCAAGAGAUACCUCUUUGUAUUCUGGGAAAAUAGGAUGCGUAUUUCUGGUCGUCCUUCAGAGAAGCUAAUGUUAUACAUGCGUAUGCCAUUUAAAUUCAGCGAAGAAAUUUGAGAAAUACUUCUGGAAAAUGUUUUAACGAGCUCCUAUCGUUAAAUCUUCAUAAGAAACGUUUGCACCAUAAAGUAACGAAAUUUUAAGCCUCACAUCCAGCAUCAGAGACCAUAAGAGCCACAGCAAGGUGUAUUCGAGGAACAGUGUUAAGAUGUGUAUAAACAAAGUAAAAUAUACGUAGUGCUGACAGGCAUCACAGAAAAGAAAACUUGUAAUAACAUUUCAAAGGAAAAACUUUUAACCAGUACAGUGUUGCGCUUUGUCAGAGAUAGUGGUCUUGUCAGGCUGCAUUUCUUUUUCCUAAGCUUCUUAUUUACCCCGUAAAAUGACAGAAA